rnacentral:lncRNA from 1 species
CAAAGAUGAGCAAUUAUUGAACUAAGAACGUCAAUGUUUGUUCUCGGGUUCAAAGAAGUCAGCGUCUUUGGCGGGAGCUGGGCCACCAUCGCCCGGACCACGCUGGGGUGCUAAGUGCUCACAUCCUCCCCAGCACUGUCCUCAACAGCCAAGAGGCAGGCACAGGGGAAAACCCACCAGCAACACCAGCACCACAGCGUCCACACCCGCCGAGGAUGCUGCACAAAAGGCCCAUGGACCAGGGUGCCUGGGGGCAGGGCAUGCUGGGCACCGUCCAUCUUCUGGCAGCUUCUGGUUAACCCGAAAAUCCUGUUUGGUUUUCCUGUGUCUUUUGAGAAUGUCACUCAAACCCCUGAAUCCUCUCUGUGAUCUAAGUGUCAUGAGGCCUGCAAAACCUCGCUUCCUGCAGCAGACUUCUCCGCUUCCUGGCCCCCAUGAAGACUGUUAUCCACAAGUAGCCAGAGGGAUUCUGUAAAAAUCAAAGUCAGGGCAGGGCCCUCCUCUGCUCAAAACCCUCCCAUGGCUCCCUACUUCACUCAGGGAGGAAGCCACGCCCAUAUUGUAGCCUCUUCCACCUCUCACACUCAUUGCACAGGCGGCCACCAAGCCCCUUUCUACCCCAGUGCCUUUGCACUUGCCACCCCCUUACUUCAUUGCAAUCCCUUCUUAGCAGAGAGGCUGACCCUGAAUUCCCUCCUGAAAUAGUGACCCUUCUCAAAUAAGUCUCCCCUCGCCUUGCCUUAUUUGUCUUCAUAUCUGUUCGUCACUACCUGACAUGUUAGAUAUUUAUUAUUUUCUCUCUUGCCGUUGGGCCUAAGUUCCCAGGGCCUCUCAUGUUUCUCCAGCGCCCAGAGGCUGACUGGCUUAUGGAGUGAGCGCAAUCAUUUCCUUUUGUGUGUGAAUAAAUGAAAGAAUCUUGGA